rnacentral:lncRNA from 1 species
GGGAGGUUCCCGGGGCGGUUCCCGGGGCGGUGCCGGUGCCGCCAUGGCCGCGGUGCCGCUGCGGGGCCGGCGUGCGGCGCUCGGGCCGGGAGCAGCCGGGGAGCCGGAAUGCGUUUUGGAAAACCAUGGCAGCAAAGGCAUUUCCCAGCCCUGCCCAAGAUGUGUUGCUGGAGAAUCUGGCCACUUCAGUCACAUCCUGGGCUCCUAGAACAGCAGAGGAGCAGCUCUGGUUUCUGCUCGUGGCUCCUGCCCUGCCUCAGCACCCUGCCCUGGGCACCGUCCCUGCACUGCACCCCUGCCCAAAACCCUCUGCUCCUCAGGGAGCUCAGAAUUGUCCAAAAAGGACAAGGAAAGGAUUAUUUCAUGUUUAGGUCCACUUGGCAUCUUGCCUGCCAAAAGGAGAUGGAAAAUCAAAAUAUUGGGAUAAGUGGGGUUUAAAGGUAGCCUGGAUUUGACAAAGCCAAGACUUGAAAUAAAUACAGUUAAUAUAUUUAAAUAUAUAUAGAG